ensembl:lincRNA C730036E19Rik RIKEN cDNA C730036E19 gene
GGGGAGGGUGGGAACAAGAUGGAAGUUGGUAUACUUAAACAUUAUUUUAAUUCAUUUGUCAUCAUCCAGAAAAUGUGGUGUUUGGGCAAUUUUGAAAGUGUUCUAAUAGCUCUCUUUAUUCCUUUUCAUAGAAAUUAACAAUUAAUCAUGAAAGCUGUAUUGUAGGAGCCCGCAAUGAAGCCUGCUUCCUUUAUACCUGUGUUGGUUUGAUGGGGCAGCUUUAAGUUGGAAGCUCUAAAUAAAGCUGCCAUACUUAGCUAUUGUAUACCUCUUCACAUCUAGUAAGUUUCCGAAGCAUUCUCCUCCCCCUCCUCCUUCUCCUCCGUGCCCUCUUUCAUUCUCCCUGGCUCUGUGUGUGUGUGUGUGUGUGUGUGUGUGUGUGUGUCAGUCUCACACCUAGCCAGAGUCAAAGGAUUCUUAAUAAGAAGCAAUCGAAAGCAAUCCUCUCUGCUGGCCUUACAUAAGAACCACACAGCAGCCGGUCUCCUGAGCCAUCCCUGUCACAUUCUCCUGUCUGCUGAAGACAGGAACAUCACCGAGAGUUGCUGGGAGAAGAAUGACUCACAGGUGAUACCCGCCACACACGUUAUCCUCAAGGUUGGAAAUAACCACCAAUAAAGGAGCCAGUCAAGAGAGUCCAAGGUAAACUAGAAAGCAAGUGGCCAGUAAAUCCGAAGACCAGAAGCUUCCAAGGUGGGGGAGGCUCAUGAUCCAGAGCCCCAAACGAUUACCUGACUUGCAAGCAAGCAACCAUUGAGACCCAGGAUGAAGUCAGGAAUGGACAUGCCACAACGACAGCCCAUAGGAAUGGACAAUCCACGACAGCCCAUAGGGUUGGACAUGCCACAACGACAGCCCAUAGGAAUGGACAUGCCACGACAGCCCAUAGGAAUGGACAUGCCACAACGACGGCCCAUAGGAAUGGACAUGCCACGACGAAACCCCUUCACCUUGCUGAUCUCUAACUCAAAGCCACUCUGCUCCAGGUGAAGCCUCUGCCUUCACCUCUGGAUAAGGAUUCCAUACUUGCAUCUUUAAGCUAGUUCGUGGGCAUCUCUACGGAAGCCAUCCGCAGGCAUCUUACAGACACAAGAUCAG